AAGUACAAGAAUGUGAAAGAGAAAGCUGUUCAGAGAGUGAUGUCAGGGUGCCUCCAAUACUACUAACAAUCCCUCGGGCCGUCAACCUGGUCAGCAGGGUUGAACAAAAACACCAAGAAACUCGCCCUCUGGCACCCGCAAAACACUCAGGAGAGCUACUCCCAUAGGCUGCAAGCUCCAGGAACCACCUCACCCCUCCUCUCACACAGGAAGCUCACUGACUUAGCCCUGAACCCAGGGAGCCGCAGAGCCCACGAGCUCCUCGGCCCGGCCGGUUGCAGCAGCGGUGUGGGGUGGGGCGGCCAGGCGGCGCCUCGCUGCAGCGGACGGAGGUCAUCACAGGCCGGGCAGAGAGGCAAGGAGCCCGCUCGGCCCAGA